AGCUUUGCGCAGUGGCGAUAUCGUAACCAAUGAGGUUUAUCCGAGGUGCGAUUAUUGCUAGUUGGAAAAAAACAUAUCUGACUAAUAGAACGAUAACUUUUGAACGAAACGUUCAAUUUCAACCAAAUUUGGU
rnacentral:snRNA from 1 species